rnacentral:rRNA from 1 species
UACGUAGGAUGCAAGCGUUAUCCGGAUUCACUGGGUUUAAAGGGUGUGCAGGCGGGGUAAUAAGUCAGUGGUGAAAGCCCCCGACUCAAUCGGGGAACUGCCAUAGAUACUGUUAUUCUUGAGUGUAGUUGAGGUGGGUGGAAUAUGACAUGUAGCGGUGAAAUGCUUAGAUAUGUCAUAGAACACCAAUCGCGAAGGCAGCCCACCAAACUACUACUGACGCUGAAACACGAAAGUGCGGGGAUCAAACAGG